UAUGAAAAUGUAUGCAGGCGCUCUGGAUAAGAGCGUCUGCUAAAUGACUAAAA
rfam:Salmo salar isolate Sally breed double haploid chromosome ssa14, whole genome shotgun sequence.